rnacentral:rRNA from 1 species
AUUGAACGCUGGCGGCAGGCUUAACACAUGCAAGUCGAGCGAGCGGCGGACGGGUGAGUAAUGUCUGGGAAACUGCCUGAUGGAGGGGGAUAACUACGGGAAACGGUAGCUAAUGCCGCAUACCAUCAGAUGUGCCCAGAUGGGAUUAGCUAGUAGGUGGGGUAAGGGCUCACCUAGGCGACGAUCCCUAGCUGGUCGGAGAUGAUGACCAGCUAAACUGGGACUGAGCCACGGUCCAGCCUCCUACGGGAGGCAGCAGUGGGGCAGAUGGCACAAUUGGCGCAAGCCUGAUGCAGACAUGCCGCGUGUUUGAAGAAGGCCCUCGGGUUGUAAAGCACUUUCAGCGAGGAAGCGUUACUCGCAGAAGAAGCACCGGCUAACUCCGUGCCAGCAGCCGCGGUAAUAC